rnacentral:rRNA from 1 species
AGAUUGAACGCUGGCGGCAGGCCUAACACAUGCAAGUCGAGCGGCAGCACGGGUACUUGUACCUGGUGGCGAGCGGCGGACGGGUGAGUAAUGCCUAGGAAUCCGCCUGAUAGUGGGGGAUAACGUUCGGAAACGGACGCUAAUACCGCAUACGUCCUACGGGAGAAAGUGGGGGAUCUUCGGACCUCACGCUAUCAGAUGAGCCUAGGUCGGAUUAGCUAGUUGGUAGGUAAAGGCCUACCAAGGCUACGAUCCGUAACUGGUCUGAGAGGAUGAUCAGUCACACUGGAACUGAGACACGGUCCAGACUCCUACGGGAGCAGCAGUGGGAAUAUUGGACAUGGGCAAAGCCUGAUCCAGCCAUGCCGCGUGUGUGAAGAGGUCUUACGGAUUGUAAAG